UACGAAGGGGGCUAGCGUUGCUCGGAAUCACUGGGCGUAAAGGGUGCGUAGGCGGCUUUUUAAGUCAGGGGUGAAAUCCUGGAGCUCAACUCCAGAACUGCCUUUGAUACUGAGGAUCUUGAGUACGGGAGAGGUGAGUGGAACUGCGAGUGUAGAGGUGAAAUUCGUAGAUAUUCGCAAGAACACCAGUGGCGAAGGCGGCUCACUGGCCCGUUACUGACGCUGAGGCACGAAAGCGUGGGGAGCAAACAGG
rnacentral:rRNA from 1 species